GCCUAAUACAUGCAAGUCGAGCGAACGGACGAGAAGCUUGCUUCUCUGAUGUUAGCGGCGGACGGGUGAGUAACACGUGGAUAACCUACCUAUAAGACUGGGAUAACUUCGGGAAACCGGAGCUAAUACCGGAUAAUAUUUUGAACCGCAUGGUUCAAAAGUGAAAGACGGUCUUGCUGUCACUUAUAGAUGGAUCCGCGCUGCAUUAGCUAGUUGGUAAGGUAACGGCUUACCAAGGCAACGAUGCAUAGCCGACCUGAGAGGGUGAUCGGCCACACUGGAACUGAGACACGGUCCAGACUCCUACGGGAGGCAGCAGUAGGGAAUCUUCCGCAAUGGGCGAAAGCCUGACGGAGCAACGCCGCGUGAGUGAUGAAGGUCUUCGGAUCGUAAAACUCUGUUAUUAGGGAAGAACAUAUGUGUAAGUAACUGUGCACAUCUUGACGGUACCUAAUCAGAAAGCCACGGCUAACUACGUGCCAGCAGCCGCGGUAAUACGUAGGUGGCAAGCGUUAUCCGGAAUUAUUGGGCGUAAAGCGCGCGUAGGCGGUUUUUUAAGUCUGAUGUGAAAGCCCACGGCUCAACCGUGGAGGGUCAUUGGAAACUGGAAAACUUGAGUGCAGAAGAGGAAAGUGGAAUUCCAUGUGUAGCGGUGAAAUGCGCAGAGAUAUGGAGGAACACCAGUGGCGAAGGCGACUUUCUGGUCUGUAACUGACGCUGAUGUGCGAAAGCGUGGGGAUCAAACAGGAUUAGAUACCCUGGUAGUCCACGCCGUAAACGAUGAGUGCUAAGUGUUAGGGGGUUUCCGCCCCUUAGUGCUGCAGCUAACGCAUUAAGCACUCCGCCUGGGGAGUACGACCGCAAGGUUGAAACUCAAAGGAAUUGACGGGGACCCGCACAAGCGGUGGAGCAUGUGGUUUAAUUCGAAGCAACGCGAAGAACCUUACCAAAUCUUGACAUCCUUUGACAACUCUAGAGAUAGAGCCUUCCCCUUCGGGGGACAAAGUGACAGGUGGUGCAUGGUUGUCGUCAGCUCGUGUCGUGAGAUGUUGGGUUAAGUCCCGCAACGAGCGCAACCCUUAAGCUUAGUUGCCAUCAUUAAGUUGGGCACUCUAAGUUGACUGCCGGUGACAAACCGGAGGAAGGUGGGGAUGACGUCAAAUCAUCAUGCCCCUUAUGAUUUGGGCUACACACGUGCUACAAUGGACAAUACAAAGGGCAGCGAAACCGCGAGGUCAAGCAAAUCCCAUAAAGUUGUUCUCAGUUCGGAUUGUAGUCUGCAACUCGACUACAUGAAGCUGGAAUCGCUAGUAAUCGUAGAUCAGCAUGCUACGGUGAAUACGUUCCCGGGUCUUGUACACACCGCCCGUCACACCACGAGAGUUUGUAACACCCGAAGCCGGUGGAGUAACCUUUUAGGAGCUAGCCGUCGAAGGUGGGACAAAUGAUUGGGGUGAAGUCGUAACAAGGUAGCCGUAUCGGAAGGUGCGGCUG
rnacentral:rRNA from 1 species